ensembl:lncRNA
GGUUUAUCCCUGACUUAGCUAAAAUAAAUCUAAUCCAGCCAAAACACAGUGCUCUCACAGUCUGCUAUGGCUGUUGAAAAGACUGGAACAGAAAAGGAAGUCAUUCUUUUCAACCUUCAUUCUGCAGAAGGUCAGCUAGGUUUCAUGGGACAACUUGCAAAGGGAUGUUUAAUUUCUGUGAUUGUAAAUUUUCUGGCUUUAAAAUCAGGAGAGGGAAGUCCUUGGUGGAAUCAAUAAGGUCAGCACAUCCUUCUCGAAUUACUUCCUUUUCACCUGAAUCAAAGAAAUAGCAGGUUCCGUCAUGAAGGAAGUGCUUGUACCACUAGUUCUAUGGCCCAGAACAAAAGCUGAUCAGAAAUACAGCUCUAAACCAUCACCAUGCUCUCAACUAGUAUAAAAAUACCACUGUUCACUGAUUUCAGAUCUGGACCACAGCUAGAAGCUACUUGGUUCUAGUAGCACUAGCUGCUGUACAAACACAAAUGAAGGAGAGGAAUUACACACCAAGAAACAUGAGUUGUGUACAUGUGAAAUGGACCAUAAUUUUGAAGCAGCUGCAGUAAAAUCUUAUCUUAAUAUGAACUCAGAAGCAAACACAAUGCAAAUUUUUAUGUUUUCUUUAAUAUGUUUGAUGGGUUUUAAUUUUCCUAGUUUGGAGAAAGUUUUCUUAAUGUUAUUUUAUUUUUGCUCUUAUUGUAAAGAAUAAAAUUAAACAACUCUAGAUAGACUACAAAUGAAAAAAGGUGGCCAGUUGGCAGGAAUGCCAAAACUUUUGUGGCUUGUAUUGUUUCUGUGGUGACACUACGCUGCUGUAGGAUGAGCUACUGGAAUGGUGUGAUGGCUCAACAGUGAGGCUGAAGCACAAGGCCAGCCUCAUGUAAGAGGGAUGCAGGGGCUGAGCCACUGAGGCAGCAGUGGGAGCACAACUGGGCCAAUUUGGAUCAGUCAGAAGACAGAGAGAGCAUCAGGAAAUAAAAGAAACCUUUUCCUGACAAAUAAAAAGCAAGAAGCCAAAGCCAGCCUGCUGGGCGACGGUGCUGAAUCAGUACAAACAUGUACCUAGACCUUGCUUGUGCAGGCUCCUGCAGGACCAGGAGGCCUGGCUCCUAAUUUACCUAGGGAGGUUUGCUCCAAGCUUGUGGUGCUGGCAGAGUCAGGCCAGCAGAACCUGCUGUUUUGUUAACUAAAUUCCAAAAACUAGAAGACCACAACAAUCACCACCAAACCAAAACAACAACUACAGAAAACAAGGAAGGAAAGAGCAAAUGCCAUUGGCAAGCAGUAGUUCUGCAUGGCUGAGACCACAGACUGGCUGGUCUGUCCUGAACACUAAUCUCCACGUCUUGUGCCCAUGCGAGCCUUUGGCUCCAGCCCCUCUCCCAUGCAUUCCACACAGAGUGCACUGAAAGAUGUGACGGAAGCAGCUGCUCUCCUCCAGGAGUCAAGCAUUUUGCCAGGUCUGAAAGUGUCUAACACUUACUUCCUUUACCGUGAUUGUAAAGGUCACCACAUGCAGUACGGCCACUUGAUCUGGGAUCUUUUCUUAACACAUUUUUACGCUGAUUUUACUAUUUUAAUUCUUUGUUUGGAAUGUAUUUUUCUCUCAUUUCUUCUCUGUGUAACAGCAAUUAAAAAUAUUAAUUUACUGUGUAUUUUUACUGUC